UAAGCAACCUACCCUAAAGACGAGGAUAACCAUUGGAAACAGUGGCUAAGACUGGAUAGGAAGAUAAAAGGCAUCUUUUAUCUUUUAAAAGACCUAGUAAUAGGUAUGCUUUAGGAGGGGCUUGCGCCAUAUUAGUUAGUUGGUAGGGUAAUGGCCUACCAAGACGAUGAUGUGUAGCUGGACUGAGAGGUUGAACAGCCACAUUGGGACUGAGACACGGCCCAAACUCCUACGGGAGGCAGCAGUAGGGAAUUUUCGGCAAUGGAGGAAACUCUGACCGAGCAACGCCGCGUGAAUGACGAAGUACUUCGGUAUGUAAAGUUCUUUUAUCAAGGAAGAAAAGCAAAUGGCGAACCAUUUGUUUGCCGGUACUUGAUGAAUAAGCCCCGGCUAAUUAUGUGCCAGCAGCCGCGGUAAGACAUAAGGGGCAAGUGUUAUCCGGAAUUAUUGGGCGUAAAGGGUGCGUAGGCGGUCUAGUAAGUCAGUGGUGUAAUGGCAACGCUUAACGUUGUCCGGCUAUUGAAACUGCUAAACUUGAGUUAGAUAGAGGCGAGUGGAAUUCCAUGUGUAGCGGUAAAAUGCGUAAAUAUAUGGAGGAACACCAGAGGCGUAGGCGGCUCGCUGGGUCUUAACUGACGCUGAGGCACGAAAGCGUGGGGAGCAAACAGGAUUAGAUACCCUGGUAGUCCACGCCGUAAACGAUGAGUACUAAGUGUCGGGUUAAACCGGUACUGAAGUUAACACAUUAAGUACUCCGCCUGAGUAGUACGUACGCAAGUAUGAAACUUAAAGGAAUUGACGGGACUCCGCACAAGCGGUGGAUCAUGUUGUUUAAUUCGAAGAUACCCGAAAAACCUUACCAGGUCUUGACAUGUUUUUGCAAAAUGAUAGUAAUAUCGUGGAGGUUACCAGAAACACAGGUGGUGCAUGGUUGUCGUCAGCUCGUGUCGUGAGAUGUUAGGUUAAGUCCUAAAACGAGCGAAACCCUUAUCGUUAGUUGCCAGCACGUUAUGGUGGGGACUUUAACGAGACUGCCAAUGAUAAAUUGGAGGAAGGUGAGGAUCACGUCAAAUCAGCAUGCCCCUUAUGACCUGGGCUACAAACGUGAUACAAUGGCUGUUACAAAGGGUAGCUGAAACGCAAGUUCUUGGCCAAUCCCCAAAAACAGUCCCAGUCCGGAUUGAAGUCUGCAACUCGACUUCAUGAAGUUGGAAUCGCUAGUAAUCGCGAAUCAGCAUGUCGCGGUGAAUACGUUCUCGGGGUUUGUACACACCGCCCGUCAAACCACGAAAGUUGGCAAUACCCCAAAACGGUAGCCUAACU
rnacentral:rRNA from 2 species